GAUGAACGCUAGCGGGAGGCCUAACACAUGCAAGCCGAGCGGGAUUUGUUGGUUAGCUUGCUAACUAACAAUGAGAGCGGCGUACGGGUGCGUAGCACGUGUGCAACCUGCCUUUAUCUGGGGGAUAGCCUUUCGAAAGGAAGAUUAAUACCCCAUAACAUAUUGAUUGGCAUCAGUUAAUAUUGAAAGCUCCGGCGGAUAGAGAUGGGCACGCGUAAGAUUAGCUAGUUGGUGAGGUAACGGCUCACCAAGGCUGCGAUCUUUAGGGGGCCUGAGAGGGUGAUCCCCCACACUGGUACUGAGACACGGACCAGACUCCUACGGGAGGCAGCAGUGAGGAAUAUUGGACAAUGGGUGAGAGCCUGAUCCAGCCAUCCCGCGUGAAGGACUAAGGACCUAUGGUCUGUAAACUUCUUUUAUACAGGGAUAAACCUACUCUCGUGAGGGUAGCUGAAGGUACUGUAUGAAUAAGCACCGGCUAACUCCGUG
rnacentral:rRNA from 1 species